CUACGGGCUGCAGCAGUGAGGAAUAUUGCACAAUGGGGGGAACCCUGAUGCAGCAACGCCGCGUGGAGGAUGACGCAUUUCGGUGUGUAAACUCCUUUUAUAUGUCAAGAAAAUGACGGUAGCAUAUGAAUAAGCACCGGCUAACUCCGUGCCAGCAGCCGCGGUAAUACGGAGGGUGCAAGCGUUACACGGAAUCACUGGGCGUAAAGGACGCGUAGGCGGGUUGGAAAGUCAGGUGUGAAAUCCUACAGCUUAACUGUAGAACUGCACUUGAAACUUCUAAUCUAGAGUAUGGGAGGGGGAGAUGGAAUUAGUGGUGUAGGGGUAAAAUCCGUAGAUAUCACUAGGAAUACCUAAAGCGAAGGCGAUCUCCUGGAACAUUACUGACGCUAAGGCGUGAAAGCGUGGGGAGCAAACAGGAUGAGAUACCCUUGUAGUC
rnacentral:rRNA from 1 species